GGCCUGGCGUGCUGCGAUUCAUGGGGUUGCAAAGAGUCGGACACGGCUACUGAACUGAACUGAACUGAACCUUCUUACUUAGCACAGAGCAGAGAGAAGAAGCAAGCUCUCUCUAUUAUGAGAGCACUAAUCCCAUUUAUGAGGGCUCCACGUCAUGACUUAAUCACUUCUGAAAGAAAGGCUCUGCCUCCUAAAGCCCAUGCAUUCAAGGUUAGGGUUCCAACAUAUGAAUUUUGGGCAGACACAAACAUUCAGUCCAUAACGUGGAUUAAAGAGGUGGAGUGAUGGGAGUUGGGAAGAGGUACUAGUAGUACCAUUACAAUCACACUAUUGGACCAGUGAAGAUGAGUUCUCCAAAAGAAGAAUGAAUCGUUCUCACAAGGUGGAGUGAUGGCCACGUAAGGUUAAGAUCAUUCCCAGAACCUCAGAAGAACACUCCUGAGGGUUACUGUUCUUCUGUCCUGCAUCAUCGUGGGUCAGGAGUUGGUAAACUACAGCCAGUGGACCAAGUCUGGCCCAUCACCUGUUUUGUUAGGGCUCACGAGGGAUAAUGGACUUCCCUGGUGGCUCAGACGGUAAAGCAUCUGCCUACAAUGCAGGAGACCCGGCUUCAAUCCCUGGGUCAGGAAGAUCUCCUGGAGAAGGAAAUGACAACCAACUCCAGUAUUCUUGCCUGGAAAAUCCCAUGGAUGGAGGAGCCUGGUAGGCUACAGUCCAUGCAGUCACAAAGAGUUGGACACAACUGAGUGACAUCACUUUCAGGGAUAAUUAUUUUAAAAUCACUGUUGCUCUAUGUUUAAAUGAAAAUCACAAAAUCUGGAAUUAGAAUUUCAGAACUGAAAGUAUGAAAGUUGCUG
ensembl:lncRNA